rnacentral:rRNA from 1 species
AACAGACUCUUGGCAACGGAUAUCUCGGCUCUCACCACGAUGAAGAAUGUAGCGAAAUGCGAUACUUAGUGUGAAUUGUAGAAUCCCGUGAAUCAUCGAGUCUUUGAACGCAAGUUUUGCUCGAGGCCUCAGCCGAGGGCAUGUCUGCUUAGGUGUCGCAC